AGAUUUGAGAAAAUUCUUUUCCAGAACGGCUUCAGGGACAAAGACUCUCUCUUGAGGACUGAAAUGGCGAGAAAGAAAUAUUUAAUAAAUAGCUACCAGCACUGGAUUAAGAAGUUGGCUCUAAUCUGUUCUCUUCCAUUAACUCACUCUGUUUCCUGCGGGAAAGCAAUUGCCUUUUACAAGCUGGAGUGAAUAGUUCAGCUGGAAAGGGGAGUCCGAAGAUGUGAGGCCCAAAGUGAACUUCGCUACUGUGCUUAGUUGUUCACAUAUGGUUUGCGGACCCUGGAAAGUCCAGCCUGAAUUCCUGAGGGAUGCUGGAAGGAGUGAAGUGAGAGACUGACACGUGUUCCCAUCCCAUCCCUGUAGCCUGGAGACAUUUCCAGCUGAAAGAAAAGUAUAAAAGACACAGUAACUGUGAAAUGCUGAAGGGCGUUUCCAGAGUAGGCACUCACGGUGAAAUGAAUGCUUAUAUGUUAAAUAACAUAUGCCAGGCAGUAUUCUAUUUUAUCCUCACAACACUUCUAUGAGAUUCCUCAAAUCAUUCUUCAGCCCUCACUUUGGUCACGUAAGUGCCAUAAAAUAAUCAUAAAGAUGCCUUAGAGGAGAACUUAUUUGCUUUACAAGUUAGAGGUCAAGCUUAAGGGUCUUUUCCAUUUUGUUGAGAAUAAAUGAUGUUUCUGAAGAGUUUCUAGCUUAUCUAUUGAACCCCUCUUCAGCUGGGAAGGCUGAGCUAGAGGGAUGAUGGUGGCAUAUAAAGGAUUGGUAUUUUAUUUGAGGUGUGAUGUAGAAUAAUCCCUGCUCUGGAUCAUCCCCUCCUCCAUCCCAGAUCUCAGAUACCAGUGGAUAUUGCCUCUAAAGUUCCUCCAGCUCCAAAUCACUCUGAGUAUUCAGAGACCUGGGUAGCUGUUCAGAGUGCUUACAGACCCUGGGUGUCAGCCACUGCUGGGGGUGGCAUCACGUCCCCUUUCCUCCAAGUGCCACUUACCAAGGUGCUAGAACAGAUCAUUUACCAAAUCAAUUCCCAUAUAUGUGAGAGUUGCAGAUCUGUGUCACCAAGUCUGUACACAUACACCUGACAGGCAGGAAUGCAUGUUCCUAAUCAGAGAGAACAAGAGGAAACAAGAAAUUUUAACUAAACUUUCUAAGCACUUCCGUUGGAAGGUACUUCUUAAAAAACUGGUGAAAUAAUUUAAGAAGACAACCUUGAGAAAAUAGCAUCUUGGAAUUAAGCAGAAGUAGGAGUAGGAGGGAGGCUACUGCUAGUGACACAGUUCCAAUGUCUGCUUUUUAUUGGUAGGCCUGGGAGGUGGGGGUUUCCAGUUAAAUGCGCUGGAGCUAAAGACUUACAGACAUUCCUCAUAUAAUUUAUGGCUCUGCAAAUUGCCCUAAUUUGUUUUUAAAAAAACACAUUAUUGAGAAAAUUUACAUUUUUAUAGUUAAAUAAGCAUUAUAACUUAUAGACCAUGGGCUUUUAUUUAUUUACUUCCUUAUUCAUUUACUUGUUUACUCUUAAUUGCCUUUCCAUGUAUAUUAUUCAUCUUGUUAUUAGAGGAUUAAUCUUUCUCUUAUUUAUUUGUAAAUACUUUUUAAGAUUAUUAUUAUUAUUUAAGAUUAUUAUUAUUAACUAUACACACCUACUAUGUAUAUAGUUUCCUGCACCCCAAAACACCAGUCACAUAGUUCAUGCUUGAUAAUGGUGCUCAUUUUUUUCUUUCGAAUCCUUAACAUAUUAGUCAUAGUUAUUUUAAGUUCUCUAUCUGAUUAUUUCACAAAUAUCUGCCACAUUUGUGCCUGGUUCUGAUACUUAACAGCUCUUCAAGUUGUGUUAUUUUGACUUUGUUUUUGUCUUUUAGUAUGCCUUAUAACUUUUUGCUGAAUAGUGGACAAGACUUAUUAGGUAAAAGGAACUAAUAUAGGUAGGCCUUCAUUCUAAGGUUUUAUUUUAUUUAUUUUUGUUUUUUUUCUUUUAGGGCCACACAGAAGUUUCCAGGUUAGGGGUCGAAUUGGAGUAGCAGCUGCCAGCCUACGCUGCAGCUCACAGCAACGCCAGAUCCUUAACCCACUGAGUGAGACCAGGGAUCAAACCCACAUCCUCAUGGAGAUUAGUUAGGUUUGUUACUGCUGAGCCACAACGGGAGCUCCAGAGGUUUUAUGUUUUUGUGGCUACGAGUUAGACCGUAGGUGUAGUUAGAGGUGUCAGAGGCCAAAAUUUUCUAUGUUGUCCUUGUUUUAUUUAUUUAUUUAUUUUUUCUCUUGCAUUUUUGGACUUUCCUAGGAACUUUUUCUUAAUUAUGUUUUAAGACUUGUACUUCUUUUACUUAAAAUACCUGUGACUGUAUGGGAACCCUAUUACUGUGGUAAUAAAUGUGGGGAUGGGAAAUUUCCUAUAGUCCUAUGAUUAGGUCCCAGUCUUUUAAUGAGGCUGUGGCCCUAUUGUGAUACUCACGGCAGUGCCAGAUCCUUAAACCGCUGGGUGAGGCCAGGAAUUGACCCGCAUCCUCAUGGAUUCAUUGCCCCUGAGCCACAAUGGGAACUUCUAUCUUUGACUAUUUUCUUUCCUAGAUUUCUUUUUUAUUUCUCAGAGUGCUCGUCAAUCUUCUUUACUGUAUCAUUUUCUCUGGCUCCUUUGGAAUGCUGGUGUUGCCCGAGAUUUCAUUUUUUUCUUUCCAUCUUUUCUAUUUUAGCUAUUCUGGUGGUUACAUAGAUCUCAUAAUGAUUUCAAUUUCUAUGUUUUUGGUGAAUAAGGGGAGUUCCUUUUCAUAUGUUUAUUAGAAAUUUGGAUAUUUUCAUUCGUAAAUGCCUAUUCAAAUCUGUCUUUUCUUCCCCACUGACUUGUAGGAAUUCUUUAUAUGUUCUUGAUAUUCAUCCUUUAUUUAGUAGAUGUAUAUUACUGUGCUUUGACUUUUCCAUCUCAGAAGUGGUUUUUGAUAAAUUUAAUUAUAGCACAAUUUAUUGAUGAGCAAUUGGUGGUUUCUUUUGAUUUGUGAUUUUUAUUUUUGUGAACUAUUUAAGAAAUCUUUCAUUGUAUGGAGAGUCUCCUAUGUUUACUUUUUUUUUUUUCCUCCAUUUUCCUUCUUGUCUUUUUAGGGCUGCAGCUGCCACAUAUGGAAGUUCCCAGGUUAGGGGUCUAAUCAGAUCUUCAGUCGCUGGCCUACGCCACAGCCACAGCCACAGCAAUGCUGAUCCGAACCGCAUCUGUAACCUACACCACAGCUCACGGCAAUGCUGGAUCCUUAACCCACUGAGCAAGGCCAGGGAUUGAACCCAUGUUCUCAUGGAUACUAGUCAGGUUCAUUACCGCUGAGCCACGAUGGGAACUCCUUUUUUUUUCUUUUUAAUGGCUGCACCAAUGGCAUAUGGAAAUUCCUGAGCCAGGGACUGAAUCAGAGCUGCAGCUGUGGACCUAAGCCACAGCUGCAGAAAUGCUGGAUCCUUUAACCCACUGUGCCUGGCUGGGGAUUGAAGCCGCACCCCUGCAGUGACCAGAGCCACUACAAUCGGAUUCUUAACCCACUCCGAUGUUUACUUCUAAAACUUUAUCGUCAUAUCUCUUAUAUUUAGAUUUCCUACCUACCUGGGUCAGUAUUUGUGUAUGUUGAUAAGUGAAGUUACAUGUGUCUUCAUUUAGCUGUCCAAUUAACCCAUGACCAUUUGUUGGUGAAUUCAUUCUUUCCUCCCUACUGAUGUGUCAUAUUUGUGACAUAUUGGGAGCUAGUGUGUGCAAGUCUAUUUCUACCCUUUCUAUUCUGUUCCAUUAGUCUAUCUGUGCCCUAAUACAACACUGUCUUAAUUAUGAGAGGUUCAUAAUAGCCUUAAUAUCCUACAGCAUUUCUUCCAGCUUUAUUUUUAUUAUUCCUGACCCUUAGCAUUUCCAAAUUUUGGUGUAUAUCAGCUUGUCAAUUUGCAUGCACACACAUGUGCACCUGCUGAGAUUUUAAAUGGGAUGGCUUUGAAUCUAGAGAUAGUUUGUGAAGAACUGACAUUUUUUCCUAUAUUGAGGCUUCUGACCCAUGAGCAGCAUAUAACUCCAUUUAUUCAGGUCUCAUUCAAUUUAUCUCAAUAGUGUUUUGUUUCCAGUGUAGAUACAUUGUACAUAUUUCUUCAAAUUUGUUCCUGAGUAUUUGAGGCUUUUUAAUGCUGAUAUAAGUGGUAUCCUUUAAAAUUUUAUUUCUUACAAGUUUGUUGCCAGUUCAUAGACUUGAAGUUGGUACUGCACAUUGACUUUGUAGAUAAUAUCCUUGCUUAAUUAUUAAUUCAAACAGGGUUUUUUUUUGUUCAUUUGAUUUUUAACAUAUCUUGUUGACUAAAUAUUGUACUGUCUUUCCCAUAAUUAUGACUUAUUUUUUCUUCAUUGCAUUGGCUAGAACCUCUGAUACAAUUUUUAAUAAAAGUUGUGUUAGCAUAAAUCUGGUCUUAUUACUGAUUUCAGGAGAAAAAGUACAAUAUUUCCCCACGAAAUCUGUAGGAUUUUUGAAAUAUGGAUUCUCAACUUAAGUAAAUGCUAUUUCUAGCUCACAAACAGAUCUUCUCAUGGAUGGGUAUUGAAUUUUGUUGAAUAAUCUUGCUGCAUCUAAUCUAUCAGGAUUAUAAGACUUUUUUUUCUUUGAAUUUAGAGAAUUUACAUUAAUCAAUUUUCAAAUGUCAAGCCUCCUCGUAUUCCUGAAAUAACCCUCUUGUCUUUUUAGGGCUGCACCUGCCACAUAUGGAAGUUCCCAGGUUAGGGGUCCAAUUUGUUGGGCUGCAUUACUUUUUCAUAUAUUGUUAUAUUUAUUUUGCUAAUUACUUUUAAGGAUUUUUUCAUCUAUGUUUAAGAGGAAGCUUGAUCUGUAAUUAUCAAUCAUUAUUGUCAAGCUUUGAAAUCAAUGUCUUAUAUAAGAAGCUGGCACGUGUUUACUCUUUCUAUUCUCCAGUAGAAAUAUUAGAAUAUUUGGAAGAAUUCACCAGGUGAAGCCAUCCAUUUCUAUGUCUCCUUUGUCAGCUUUGAUAAGUUAUAUUUUUUAAAGGAAUUUUUGAUUUUAUUUAAUUGUUGAAAAUAUUGGCAUAUAAGUGUUUAUUAUAUUCUCUGAUUAUUUGAAUGCUUAUAAUAUCUAUAGUUCUAUACAUUUUUCAUUCCCAGUGUUAUAGUUUGAGUAUCCCCACUUCCCUUUCCUAAUCAGUCUUGCAUGUUGUUAGGUUUUAGGCCUAAGUUAUCCUUUCACUUGCUGUCCUAUUAGGUUUUGCUUUCUCAUAUGAAUUGGGAGUUAUCAUUCUUUAUAACUCUGUAAAUUAUGCAUAUAGUGAAAAUUGUUUCUUUCUUGACUAUUUGAUAAAAUUGGCAAAAUCAGUGAGGUAUAUAGAUUUUCUUACGGGAAGAUAUAAAGUUACAUAAGAUUUAUUACUUGACUAGAAAUAAGACAGUUCAGAUUUUUAAUUAUUGUUAGUUAUUUUUUUUUACUUUCACAGGGAAACAUCCAUAUAAGUUUCUGAACUCAUUGAUACAACCUGGUUCAUAACAUGUUAUUAUACUGUCAGUGUCAAAGAGUCACUAUCUGAUUCUUUUUCAUUUCUAACAAUGAUUAUUUUUGUCUUUUAUAUAUGUCUUGUUCGGUCUCAUCACAUAGUUGGUUUAAAAAUUUGUAAUUGUUUCAUAUGUCAAAUUUUAGAUUUGUUGAUAACAUCUGUUUUCUAUUUCCUUAAUUUGUGAUUUUCGCCUUUUUUUCCUUGCUUAUGAACUGAACUUUUUUUAAAAUCUUUGAUAAGUUUGUUUUACCAUUUUACCUUAAAGUGUAUUUUAUCUCACAUUAAUAUAAUCAGACCAUAUUUUUCUUGGUUGAAUUUUUUGAAUUGGGGCUACAUUUUUUUUUUUUUUGGUCUUUUUAGGGCUGUACCUGCGAUAUAUGGAGGUUCCCAGGCUAGGGGUUGAAUCCAAGCUGUAGCCACCAGCCUACACCACAGCUGCAGCAACGUCAGAUCUGAGCCACCUCUAUGACCUACACCUCAACUCAUGGCAGCGCCAGAGCCUUAACCCACUGAGCAAGGCCAGGGAUUGAACCUGCAUCCUCAUGGAUACUAGUCAGAUUCAUUUCAGCUGAGCCAAGAUGGGAAUUCAUACAUUUUUAUUUUUAACCCUUCUGUAUCCUUAUGUUUUAGAUGCAAAUAUUAUAACUAAAUAGCUGGAGUUUAAAAAUUCAAAUACGAUAAUUUCUGUCUUUUACCUGAAGCAUUUUAUCACUUAUGUUAGUUAUAAUUACUUAUAGAUUAGCCUAUUUGUAUACAACCAUUUAUUUUUUAUUUGUAUUUUCUUUUGACCAUGCCUGUGGCAAUGUGGAAGUUUAUAUAUAACAAUUUAUCAUGUAACUCUAUUUGUCCCACCCUUCUGUGUUUCUUUCAUUUUUUUGUCCUCUUCUAAUCAAUUAUGUACUUAUUCCCGAUUCUCUUUUUACUUAUACUAGUUCAGAAAUUAUGAAUACUGUUUAUUUUUUUUAACAUUCGCUCUUGUAAUUACAACAUGAACAUGCAACUAAUCAAAGUGAAUGAAUAGCAAACUCUCCCUCAUCCAGAAGGAUCUUUGGUUUCCUUUUUCUUUUUUUCAAACUCCUUACUGAGAUAUAAUUCCUACCAUACAAUCAACUAUUUAAAGUGAAGAAUUCAAUGUUUCGUCAUAUAUUCACAAAGUUGUGCAACCAUUACCACAAUCUAAUUUCUGGAAAAUAUUCCUUCCCCCAAAAGAAACCACUUGUUCGGGAGUGGAUAAGCAAUGAGAUUCUGCUGUAUAGCUGAGGAAACGAAAUCUAAUCAUUUGUGAUGGAACAUCACGAUGGAGGAUAACGUGGGUAUAUAUAUGUAUAUAUAUAUAUAUAUAUAUACACACACAUAUAUAUAUAUGAAUGACUGGGUCAUUUUGCUAUACAGUAAACAUUGACAGAACACUGUAAAUCAACUACAA
rnacentral:lncRNA from 1 species